AUAUGAAUUAUUUCAAAAAAUAAUAAUAAAAGUAAUGAAAAUCUAACUUAAAUAUCAGAUUUUGAGUUUUUUUUAAGAAUUUUUUUUUAAAACGUUCUUAACAUGUCCGUAAAAUAAUAAUUUAAACAUAUACAUUAGUUUAACAGUAGGAACUAAAACUACGUUUAUAAUAAUUUUGUAGUUACCAAAAAUAAAAUUUUGUAUUUUAUAGGAACAAAAACAUAUUUAACCCUAAAAUAUAUUAUGUGAUAUAAUACUACAAAUAUUUAAAUGUUUUAAGCAUUAUCUUUACACAUUAUAAAUUGAUCAAAUUUCAUUCAAUUUGUAAAACAAAAAGAGAAAAGAAUAUGGCUACAAUUCUCAAGUUUAUUUGUGCUAUAAUUUUAUUUCUUUCCUUAAUUCAUCUUUCAACGGAGGCUGGCGUUGCAGGUAAUCCAUGUGAAACUGAUGAAGAUUGCCCUUUGCCUAAAUUUCAAAGUAUUAGCCCUAACAUGGUGACUGUCUUUUAUAAGUGCAUUGAUAGAAAGUGUAUACUGUUUCACGGGUUACCGCAGAAACCAUAGUUGCAAGGGAAAUAUCAAAGACAUAUAUAAUAUACUUUAUGGUAGAAUGUUGCAUGAGUGGUCAUUUAAGAUUUAUUCUUACAACCAAUAAUUAUAUUUUUCAUAUAAUUUUUCGUUUUGUAAUAAUGUGUUACUUCAAAUUAUGACUUUGUUCUCUAAUAUUUUAAAAAUGAAAUAAAAAAGGUAGGAAAUAUUAUUAUAAUUCA